rnacentral:tRNA from 1 species
GAGCCGCUAGCUCAGUAGGUAGAGCAACGGCCUUUUAAGCCGUGGGUCUUGAGUUCGAAUCUCAAGCGGCUCA